rnacentral:rRNA from 1 species
UACGGAGGGUGCAAGCGUUAUCCGGAUUCACUGGGUUUAAAGGGUGCGUAGGCGGGCAGGUAAGUCAGUGGUGAAAUCUCAGAGCUUAACUCUGAAACUGCCGUUGAUACUAUCUGUCUUGAAUAUUGUGGAGGUAAGCGGAAUAUGUCAUGUAGCGGUGAAAUGCUUAGAUAUGACAUAGAACACCUAUUGCGAAGGCAGCUUACUACGCAAUCAUUGACGCUGAGGCACGAAAAGCGUAGG